rnacentral:tRNA from 1 species
GGAGAGAUGGCUCAGUGGGUAAGAGCACUGGCUGCUCUUCCAGAGGACCUGGGUUCAAUUCCCAGCACCC